GCCUGGGUGGCUCAGUUGGUUAAGCGUCUGACUUCAUCUCAGGUCGUGAUCUCACAGUUUGCAGGUUCGAACCCUGUGUCAGGCU
rnacentral:tRNA from 1 species